rnacentral:rRNA from 1 species
CUGGCGGCGUGCCUAAUACAUGCAAGUCGAGCGGAACCAUUGGAGCUUGCUCCAUUGGUUUAGCGGCGGACGGGUGAGUAACACGUGGGCAACCUGCCCUACAGAUCGGGAUAACUCCGGGAAACCGGUGCUAAUACCGAAUAGUUUGCGGCCUCUCCUGAGGCUGCACGGAAAAGACGGUUUCGGCUGUCACUGCAGGAUGGGCCCGCGGCGCAUUAGCUAGUUGGUGGGGUAAUGGCCCACCAAGGCGACGAUGCGUAGCUGAGCUGAGAGGCUGAACGGGCCACACUGGAACUGAGACACGGGUCCAGACUCCUACGGGAGGCAGCAGUGGGGAAUAUUUGGGCAAUGGGCGAAAGCCUGACCACAACGCCGCGUGAG